AGUGAACGCUGGCGGCAGGCCUAACACAUGCAAGUCGAACGGCAGCACGGCAGUAGCAAUACUGUGGGUGGCGAGUGGUGGACGGGUGAGGAAUACAUCGGGAUCUACCCUGUUGUGGGGGGAUAACGUAGGGAAACUUACGCUAAUACCGCAUAAGAACUGAGGUUGAAAGCGGCGGACCGCAAGGCGUCGCGCGAUUGGAUGAACCGAUGUCCGAUUAGCUAGUUGGCGGGGUAAAGGCCCACCAAGGCGACGAUCGGUAGCUGGUCUGAGAGGACGACCAGCCACACUGGAACUGAGACACGGUCCAGACUCCUACGGGAGGCAGCAGUGGGGGAAUAUUGGGAACAAUGGGCGCAAGCCUGAUCCAGCCAUGCCGCGUGGGUGAAGAAGGCC
rnacentral:rRNA from 1 species